rnacentral:ribozyme from 1 species
CUCGCCAUGAAAGCCGUUCGCAUGGCUGCUGUCGGCGCUGGCCGCAGCAGCGCCUUCCAGGCCACGCGCUCGUUCUCUUCCGUGCCCACCAACAUGGUCGGCCAGCCCAUCGAGUGCGACGCCGCCAUUGCUUGGGAGCCCAAGAAGGAGUACUGGAAGAACGCCCUCAGCGUUGAGCGCGUUAUUGUCGCCCCCCCCGGCCCUGGUGAGGUCCGCGUGAAGAUCACCCACGCCGCUCUCUGCCACACCGAUGCCU